rnacentral:rRNA from 1 species
CCUACGGGUGGCAGCAGUGGGGAAUAUUGGACAAUGGGGGAAACCCUGAUCCAGCGACGCCGCGUGAGUGAAGAAGUAUUUCGGUACGUAAAGCUCUAUCAGCAGGAAAGAAAAUGACGGUACCUGACUAAGAAGCCCCGGCUAACUACGUGCCAGCAGCCGCGGUAAUACGUAGGGGGCAAGCGUUAUCCGGAUUUACUGGGUGGAAAGGGAGCGUAGACGGCAGCGCAAGUCUGGAGUGAAAUGCCGGGGCGCAACCCCGGAACUGCUCUGGAAACUGUGAAGCUGGAGUGCAGGAGAGGUAAGCGGAAUUCCUGGUGUAGCGGUGAAAUGCGUAGAUAUCAGGAGGAACACCGGCGGCGAAGGCGGCUUACUGGACUGUAACUGACGUUGAGGCUCGAAGGCGUGGGGAGCAAACAGGGUUAGAUACCCUUGUAGUC